AAGGCACGUUACGCUAGGGACAACGGCCGACUUGUUUAGGGUUAAACCGGUGACUUGGGGNU
rnacentral:rRNA from 1 species